rnacentral:rRNA from 1 species
CCCUUAGAUGUUCUGGGCCGCACGCGCGCUACACUGAUGCAUGCAACGAGUUCUAUCCUUGGCCGGAAGGCCUGGGUAAUCUGUGAACGUGCAUCGUGAUAGGGAUAGAUUAUUGCAAUUAUUAAUCUUGAACGAGGAAUUCCUAGUAAGCGCAAGUCAUCAGCUUGCAUUGAUUACGUCCCUGCCCUUUGUACACACCGCCCGUCGCACCUACCGAUCGAAGGUAAUGAUGAGCCCUCAGGAUUGUGGCCUCGUCGCGUCAGCGUCUUGGCUGCGAGAAUCUGUGCAAAUCCCUACCUUUAGAGGAAGGUGAAGUCGUAACA